UACGAAGGGGGCUAGCGUUGUUCGGAAUUACUGGGCGUAAAGGGCGCGUAGGCGGUACUUCAAGUCAGGCGUGAAAGCCCCGGGCUCAACCUGGGAACCGCGCUUGAGACUGGAGAACUAGAGUUCGGGAGAGGAUGGUGGAAUUCCCAGUGUAGAGGUGAAAUGCGCAGAUAUCAGGAAGAACACCAAUGGCGAAAGCAGCUCUCUGGGACGUGACUGACGCUGAGACGCGAAAGCGUGGGGAGCAAACAGG
rnacentral:rRNA from 1 species